rnacentral:rRNA from 1 species
AGUACUCACCUUGUGUGCAAUGUUUGCUGACAUCGUCGUUCACGCGUCGCGUCAGCAUAAUUCCAACCCUUUAUUGAAACUUUUUUGUCUGAAGAUAUUUUGAAUAAAUAAUUCUAAAUACAACUUUCAACAACGGAUCUCUUGGCUCUCGCAUCGAUGAAGAACGCAGCGAAAUGCGAUACGUAAUGUGAAUUGCAGAAUUCAGUGAAUCAUCGAAUCUUUGAACGCACAUUGCACUCUCUGGUAUUCCGGAGAGUAUGCUUGUUUGAGUAUCUGUAAACAUCUCAAAUCUCUUUGCGCUUGCGCAUAAGAGACUUGGAUUUGAGCGAUCCCAACUCCUUCGACAGAAAGAGGAGGGUCGCUUGAAAUGCAGGUGCAGCUGGACAUUCUUCUGAGCUAAAAGCAUAUCUAUUUAGUCCCGUCAAACGGAUUAUUACUUUUGCUUCAGCUAAUACAAAGGUCGAAUGAACUACCAACGCUGAUUGCAGGAAAACUCGUUUUUUUACUAAAACUUGUAAACUCGAUCUCAAAUCAAGUAAGACUACCCGCUGAACUUAAGCAUAUCAAUAAGCGGAGGAAAAGAAACUAACAAGGAUUCCCCUAGUAACGGCGAGUGAAGCGGGAUGAGCUCAAAUUUAAAAUCUGGCUGGUUUACUAGUCCGAGUUGUAGUUUAAAGAAGCGUUUUCGGUGGCAGUCUCGGUAUAAAUCCUUUGGAAUAGGGUAUCAUAGGG